GACGAACGCUGGCGGCGUGCUUAACACAUGCAAGUCGAGCGAUGAAGCUUCUUCGGAAGUGGAUUAGCGGCGGACGGGUGAGUAACACGUGGGUAACCUGCCUCAUAGAGGGGAAUAGCCUUCCGAAAGGAAGAUUAAUACCGCAUACGAUUGUAAUAUCGCAUGAUAUAGCGAUUAAAGGAGUAAUCCGCUAUGAGAUGGACCCGCGUCGCAUUAGCUAGUUGGUGAGGUAACGGCUCACCAAGGCGACGAUGCGUAGCCGACCUGAGAGGGUGAACGGCCACAUUGGGACUGAGACACGGCCCAGACUCCUACGGGAGGCAGCAGUGGGGAAUAUUGCACAAUGGGGGAAACCCUGAUGCAGCAACGCCGCGUGAGUGAUGACGGUCUUCGGAUUGUAAAGCUCUGUCUUCAGGGACGAUAAUGACGGUACCUGAGGAGGAAGCCACGGCUAACUACGUGCCAGCCGCCGCGGUAAAAC
rnacentral:rRNA from 1 species